rnacentral:rRNA from 1 species
UGGGGAAUUUUGGACAAUGGGCGAAAGCCUGAUCCAGCAAUGCCGCGUGUGUGAAGAAGGCCUUCGGGUUGUAAAGCACUUUUGUCCGGAAAGAAAUCCUUGGCUCUAAUACAGUCGGGGGAUGACGGUACCGGAAGAAUAAGCACCGGCUAACUACGUGCCAGCAGCCGCGGUAAUACGUAGGGUGCAAGCGUUAAUCGGAAUUACUGGGCGUAAAGCGUGCGCAGGCGGUUUGCUAAGACCGAUGUGAAAUCCCCGGGCUCAACCUGGGAACUGCAUUGGUGACUGGCAGGCUAGAGUAUGGCAGAGGGGGGUAGAAUUCCACGUGUAGCAGUGAAAUGCGUAGAGAUGUGGAGGAAUACCGAUGGCGAAGGCAGCCCCCUGGGCCAAAUACUGACGCUCAUGCACGAAAGCGUGGGGAGCAAAACAGGAUUAGAUACCCUGGGUAGUCCACGCCCUAAAACGAUGUCAACUAGUUGUUGGGGAUUCAUUUCCUUAGUAACGUAGCUAACGCGUGAAGUUGACCGCCUGGGGAGUACGGUCGCAAGAUUAAAACUCAAAGGAAUUGACGGGGUCAUA